GACGAACGCUGGCGGCGUGCUUAACACAUGCAAGUCGAACGGUGAACGAGGGAGCUUGCUCCCUCCGGAUCAGUGGCGAACGGGUGAGUAACACGUGAGCAAUCUGCCCCGAACUCUGGGAUAAGCGUUGGAAACGACGUCUAAUACCGGAUACGACGCGGGAGGGCAUCCUCUCCGCGUGGAAAGAACUUCGGUUCGGGAUGAGCUCGGGGCCUAGCAGCUUGUUGGGGAGGUAACGGCGCACCAAGGCGACGACGGGUAGCCGGCCUUAGAGGGGGACCGGCCACCCUGGGACUGAGACACGGCCCAGACUCCUACGGGAGGCAGCAGUGGGGAAUAUUGCCCAAUGGGCGCAAGCCUGAUGCAGCAACGCCGCGUGAGGGACGACGGCCUUCGGGUUGUAAACAUCUUUUAGCAGGGAAGAAGCGAAAGUGACGGUACCUGCAGAAAAAGCACCGGCUAACUACGUG
rnacentral:rRNA from 1 species